UUUCACUCUCGCUCUCAAUUAAGUGUCGGUUCCGGAAUGUCGACAUUGUUAGCGACGUUGCAUUCACUCUGCGUAUGUUAGAGUGGGACAGAAAUCUAUCGACUACAGUCUUACAGUUUGGUAAGGAUUGCGCAGUGGGCCAGCGAGUCGCUAUGUACUGUCAUUUGAAGACCCACGCUAGAUGUAUUUACUCGUGACGCAAGUUGUUUAUAAAAUAUUCUAAAUAGUAGUUACAAAUAAUUUCUGAUAAUAAUCGACUAGUGUAAUACAGUGUUAACAACCUCAGUGUUUAAACGAAAUGUAAAUGUGGAAGUGACUAUAAAAAAGGACUGACGUCUGUAUUUGCACUAACAGGUUAAGGAACAGGAAGAAAAAGAAGACUUCUACAGGCGCUCAUAGAAGACAGAAGUUUGCACGGCUUGCAAACAUACCGAGGUGCAAUGGCAGACCAGGACAGAUGUUGCAGCCACACUAACUAGCAGAGGAGCCCACGGAAUCGGAAAGAAUGGAAGUUACGGCGGUGUCGGGACGAGGCAGUCGACGGGCGGGGGUGACUUAGAAGACAAUGGGGGACCCUAUCAGCUUUCUAUCCAGAUCGGCCAGCUGUUCCAUCAAAGGAGGCCACAGCCAGAGAGAAUACUGGCGUCAGGAGACUCAGGAGUGACGAGAACCUGCUGGAAGACCAAAGACUGGAGCUGUCUCAAUGCUCUGCGAAUUUAUUAUUUUUGCCCUGCGAUUUUUUUUGUAUCUAAUCUUCUUUUUUAUUUUUAUUUUUUUUUAUAUAUACAAUAAUAUCUCGAUUCGUUAUAACAUUUGUAUCUUCUUUUCAGAGAUCUGCCGCCAUGCGAAUGUUAUGUACGUGUAUUUCAUGUAUAAGAGCAACUUUUGAUUUCUUGUUUACAGAAAAUGUUCAUACAAAAUAAACACAAUUUGUAUCAAUUUUAACUUGCUAAAGUUUUUUAUCAACAACAAAAGUUGUUCUUUCUCGUGAAUAUAUUUUUAAUUGCUUCGCGAAUAAACCUAAUAAAGUGUGGCCACGAAAUAAUCUAUUAAAUGAAUAUGGUAAAAUUUUAAAUGAAUGUGGAAUUUUAAAGCAGCACUUUUUAAAUAAUUUGUGGAUAUAAAAGUACACAAUAAAAAUACAAUCAUAAUAUAACGUUAUAAAAAAUAUAGGUACGGUGGAAUAUAUAACGCAAAAAGUGACAUACAACCUAACGUUAUACAUAGAUAUUAUGAUGUAUUUUUAUUAUCUAAUUUGAUAUCCACACUUUAUUUAAAAAAGUGCUGCUAAAAAAUCUACAUUUGUUUAAAAGAUUUACCAUAUCAUGCACGACCAGAUUUUUUCGUGUCCACACUUUAGGUCUAAUUUGGAAGUUGAUUGUAUUUAUGUCACGGAGUUUUCAGAAAAGUUUACCUACCAUUUACUUUUUUUACUUUAAAAACUAACAAUUUCCAGGUUAUUUCUACCCAGAUUCAUGAGGACUAAUUGAUUAAAAAUAAGAAACAAUGUUUUCCAUAAAGAAAAUUAAUAAGUUAUAACGGUGGUAAUAAUGUAUUACAAAACUGACAAACUGUAUUGGAUACUUUCUUUUUGUAUUCAAUUGUCCUCUUGAUUGUUACUAAUUCUGAGUAGAAACAACCCAAAUGUUGUAAGUUUUUCUGAAACAGUAAACGGUGGGUACACUUUUCUGAAAAUGACCAACAAAUCUGGGAAAAACUUAAUUUACUUCAAUUAAAAUAAAAUAACGUGUUGAAAUUAUUCGGCCGCAAUAAGAAUGGGAUCCAAAAGAGCCGUUAGUAAAAUAGUACAUCCAUGUCGUUUUCACUAAUAAUAUAUAUUAUUUAGUCAAUCAAUUACAUUUGAUGAAGUGAUGAUAUAAACAGCUCCGAUGACGAUACCAUGAGAGAUUGAUUUAUACAAUCGCGAUUUAAAAUGAUUUUAUAAUUUGUAUUUUAUUUCAUUAAUUUAUUGUUUAUUAUUUUUCUUAUUCUUAUUUUAGUACAUUAUCGUACUGAAGUAAGAAUAUUUAUUAAUUUGCACACACUAGAUUGACAAUGUCAUGUUAUGAAAUUACCUAAUCAAAAACUACAUAAUUUAUGUAGGUAGUUAAUCAAUUUCAUUCUGAUUAUGGUUUAAUAUGCGUAAAGGUACUGUAUCAUAGAGUUGGAAAAAGCUGACUCUUCACUGACUGGGUAAUGACAGAGUAUGGAAGUAUCAUCAUCGUAAAAUUUCCAUGAAAAUAUAGCAUUUAUUGUGGCAUUUCAACACUUUAUAUUACGUCAAUGUCGGUGCAGAGUUUGCUUAGACGGACUUCAAGUGACUUCCAAAUUAGAUUACAUAUAUUUACAUAUGUUCACUGCAACGCGAAUGUAUACAUACGGGUUGGAUUUUCUUAUUGGGUCAGUGGGGGCAGCUACCAGAUCCCGUGCUGCUACGCGAAAAUGGUCUUAGAAGACCUUCCCUUAAUUUCAGAUUAAUGAGGAUUGGCGUUUACAGAUUUCGGGAAAAACAUACAGGAUGCUAGAAAAAGGUCAUUUUUGGCAAACUUUUUGUUUGAAGUAAAUUUAUGCAAACCUACAGUAAUGUCUUCAUACAGUAUUAUGGUCCUUAACAGGAGUGAUUGGCGAGACAGAAAAAUGUGAAUAAAAUUUCACGUUUUCUCCAUAGUAAAUUUACGGAGUUUUUUUUAAUUUGUGGCUUUUUAGUACAUUACCGUAAGUGGGCCCUUAGAAAACUUUUGAUACUGUAUAGGAAAGGAAUCGAUUGGCAUAAAAAAGCAUGUGAAAAACAAAAGUUUUCGUUUUCAUACAAAUUGUAUGGGAAAAGUUAUCUUCGAUUUGUGGGUUUUCUGGCCGUAAACUGUUUUUUGGUCCCAUACAAGCUUUUGAUCCUGGAUAGGCAUUCGGCAUUCCUAUCGAUUGGCAUCAAAAAAAAGUUCGCCAUAAAUGACCUUUUUUUCACGCACCCUGUAUGUUUUUCCAAAAUCUGUAAACGCCUAUCGUCAUUAAUUUGAGAUUGAGGGAAGGUCUUCUAAGACCGUUUUCGCGUAGCAGCACGUGAUCUGGUAGCUGCCCUCACUGACCCAAUAAGAAAAUCCACCCUGUAUUAUCUGCAGUGAUCGGAAUAGUAUAAAUACCUAAGCUUGGUAGAACAAAGUCAUAAAGUGGAGACUGCCUUGCGACAACAUUUUUAUCCGGAACUAAAGUCCCGGAAACGUACUAAGUGCAUAAAUGAUAUUGUUAUAAAUACGGUAAAAACAAUGCAUUCCUCGUUUUUGGCCAAUACAAUCAAUAGGCGUAAAAUAAAACCACCAUUUUUUUUAAACAAGCUAUAUACAUUUCUUAAAUCUAGAUGAACGAGGAAUGCAUUGUUUUUUACCGUAAUUAUAACAAUAUUAUUUACUUCGUACGUUUCCGGGAUUUUAGUUCCGAAAAUAGUACAUUGUGCAACAUGGGGCGUAAGUUGAAUAUUGCAAAUGAGAGUACCUAUAGUUAAAUCGGGACGGCUUACCGGAGCGAUUUAAAGACUCAAGUUUGCAAUAUUAUUACGCCCCGAGUUACACACAAUGUUUUUCAUCACACUUACAAAAAUAAAGUAUAAAGACAAAAACCUGUUAAUUAUAAUACUAGAAACUUCAUAACUCCCUAGGAAAAUUUCUAUAGUUCCCGCUAAGCCUGCGUUCAAUUCCACAUUCACUGAGCGAGUGUGAUGAAAAAUAUACCUAUUAAUUAUCGCAAGGCAGUCUCUACUUUACGACUUUUUUCUACUAAGUUUAGGUAUUUAAUUUAUACUCUGCCUAUAACGAUCACUGAUUAUCUGCAAUGCGAACGUCAUUUUACUGCAAUGCGAAUGUCAUUUGACUGCAAUGCGAAUGUAUUUCAAUCUGCACCGCGAAUGUAAUUUACCUGCAUAGCGAAUGUAUUUCUGUGUGCUUGCGAACUUCAAGAUCAAGAACAAGAAGAACGAAGAAGCCAAGACCUGACCAGGCCGAGGUGAAGACUAAACUAUCACCGCGAAGAAUUCCUGUUCCACCAUUGGACUUAGUCAAUUAGAAAUCUGCGGAUCUACAUAUAAAGAGGGAAAUAGAAAGAAAUAUUGUUGCAGCCUUUAGUUUAUUCGCCAGUUCCUACAGAAGACUAUAAAAUUAUGAAGACUUGAAAAUUGUUGAUGAGAUUGUAAAUUUAUAAAAAAAAAUAAGGACUUAACUGACAGACAUUUUACACUAUGGAGCAGCCAAGAGCAAGACUAGACACAAGGAUAACCAACUGGUGCUUGUGGGGAAUCUACAACUGAAAACAGAGCAGCGCUGAAUAGGCUUUCAAGCUGGAGGAAAUUCAGAACGACUGGGCAAGAAGAAAGAAGAAAUGGAAACACCUAAAAAACUGAUGAUAAUGGCAUUGUGCUGUAUUUAGUGCGCCAGUGCCUUAGACAAAUACACGAGUAUCCCGGAUACAUGGGUUGAAGUGAAAAAUGACCAACGACAAUACCGUAACACCAUAAAAAAAUCGUGAAAGUUACUAAACUUGACUUUGUGAGUGAACGUGAAAACAAUUUGGAAUUAACGGCUAGCAGAGUGUAUAGUUACCAAACCAACUAAAUACCUUAGUUGAAGCGUUAAUUAACAUCGUUUGAUUAUCGAUAAAUUUUGUAUGGUCGACCAGUCGAUUUGACAUCGAUCGAUGAUCACUGAAUGCCGAGCGACGUAUCGAUUGACUUAGUUUUUUUAGUCAGGGCUAUUUAGACAAUAAUUAAAAAUUUCCAAUGUAAGGCCAUUUUGUAAUUAACAUUAAAUUUAAAACAAUCCUUUUUAUUUUAUGUAAAAAUAAUUGCGCAUUAUUUGUCAUUGUUAGGUAUAUUCUAUCAUUAACAAAUACUUUUAUUUUUUGUAUUUACUAUUAUUGUUAUAUUCAUAAUAGGGGACCGCCUAAGCUUCGAUUGCUUAGUCGCAUUCAGUGGAAAAUCUCUCUAAAUACGUUCUGUCUGUGUUAAUAUUCUAUGGUUCUCAGGUGCCUAUCUAUUCUCUAUAGGUAUAUUCUUGCAUAUUCAUCAUCAUCAAAUCAGUUUAAUUAUAUAACACUCCACAAUCCAGUUGUAUCAAUGUUGCCUAUUUAACCAUUUAUAAAAUAUAUAUAAAAGGGACUGCCUAGGCUUCACUGCUUAGUUGCAUUUAUGUGGAGCCAUAUAUUACUGGCGGAAAAGAAGGUGGGGCCCGUUCCUAAAAAUAUUAAUUAGUAAUAAAUAGCAGUUUGUCAUUAAAUAAGGUUUAACUAUUUUUUUUUACAUAAAAAUACGAUUGUAUAUUUGUACUUACAAAAUAACACAGUGUAAUACAUCUGAAUUUUGUAAUUUUUUUGAAAAAAAAAUCGCCUAGUUUUUCAAUGGUGUUGACCAAUUUAUACAAAAAAAAUAUAUAUAAGGGACUGCCUAGGCUUCACUGCUUAGUUGCAUUUAUAUGGAGCCAUUUAUUACUGGCGGGAAAGAGGGUGGGCCGUUCCUAAAAAAAUAUUAAUUAGUAAUUAAUAGCCGUUUGCUUUUAAAUGAGGUUUUACUAAUAUAUUUUUUUAUAUAUAAAAAUACGAUUGUAUUUAUUUGUACUUAGAAAAUAACACACUGAUUGUACUACAUCUGAAUAUUGUAAUAAAAAAAAAGAAUAUCUCGCCUAGUUUUUCAAUGAUAUUGACCAAUUUAUUAAAAAACAAAAUAUAUAAAAGGGACUGCCUAGGCUUCACUGCUUAGUUGCAUUUAUGUGGAGCCAUAUAUUACUGGCGGGAAAGAGGGUGGGCCGUUCCUAAAAAAAUAUUAAUUAGUAAUAAAUAGCCGUUUGUUUUUAAAUAAAGUUAAACUUUUUUAUAUAUAAAAAUACGAUUGUAUAAUUGUGCUUAGGAAAGAACACUGUUUAUAAUACAUCUAAAUAUUGUAACUUUUUUGAAAAAACAAUACCUCGCCGAGUUUCUUACGCCGGUUCUUCUCGGCACAGAGGUGUAACUUUGCGAACCGGUAGUAUUUUUUUGCCAAUAAAUAAAUUACAAUGA